rnacentral:rRNA from 1 species
AUUGAACGCUGGCGGAAUGCUUUACACAUGCAAGUCGAACGGCAGCACGGACUUCGGUCUGGUGGCGAGUGGCGAACGGGUGAGUAAUGUAUCGGAACGUGCCCAGUCGUGGGGGAUAACGUAGUGAAAAUUACGCUAAUACCGCAUACGAUCUAUGGAUGAAAGCGGGGGAUCGCAAGACCUCGCGCGAUUGGAGCGGCCGAUAUCAGAUUAGGUAGUUGGUGGGGUAAAGGCCCACCAAGCCAACGAUCUGUAGCUGGUCUGAGAGGACGACCAGCCACACCGGAACUGAGACACGGUCCAGACUCCUUCGGGAGGCAGCAUUGGGGAAUUUUGGACAAUGGGCGAAAGCCUGAUCCAGCCAUUCCGCGUGCAGGAUGAAGGCCCUCGGGUUGUAACUGCUUUUGUACAGAACGAAAAGGUUUCUACUAAUACUAGGAGCUCAUGACGGUACUGUAAGAAUAAGCACCGGCUAACUACGUGCCAGCCGCCGCCGUAA